AGUGAACACUUUGUCAAGGGCCAGCGUUGGUUUCUCAUCUGGACUACUGUCUGCAAACUGCUGACUUACAAAAUGGUAACAGCCUCCUAACAAUGGGUGAAUCUACAGGAUGUCAAACAGCAACUCUCAGGUGAACCACUCAGUCAGUGGAUCUGGUGUUAACCAUACAAUGCCAAACAUCUGGUGAUCUGAAGACAUCCGGGGCUUUUCUAUCAUGUAGCCCAAACAUGAUUCAGGUGCAAAAAAGGGCCUGGAAGACUGUGUAUGGAAAAAUGGGGCAGCAGUGUGAGAGUAUUCUGAAACAAUGUGAAGACAGAAAUAGCAGCGCCGACAGAGUUGCAGGUUUUAUGAUACCACAAAGAGAUCAUCUUCCUUCUCCUCACCACAAGAACAGAUGGGUAGCAAGGGUGGUGGCUCCAUGACUCACUACCUCCUCACGCCCGCAAAGACUGUCUAAGCAGCAGGCAAACUUCUGGGAUCAAUAGGGUUCACAGCAAUGCGGUGUCUGCCAGCAAACCUUGGAGGAGGCCAUUAGUCAAUUGGUGACCUGCCACCCUGACCACUGCAGCCCUCUGAUGCAGAUUCUCAGAAAGGUUAGCUGGUGCUGGGAAACUUAAAAGGUCAUGGGUAUCUUGGAGUCAAAACUCCACAGAACCAGAAUGAAGAGUACUGCAGAGGAGCUGCAGGUAAGGGCCACAUUGGAGGCCAAAGUCACCACCUGCUAGCUGUGUGACCAAGAAAAGCUAAGCAGAAGAGCUGCGAUGCGUCACAUGCAAUAGAGAAGGCCAACCACUGGGAAUGGCUGCCUUUCAAGAACACUGAAAUAAAUGACCUCUAAAUGGAUGACAAUAAUGGCAUGAGGUCAGAUGUCCAACUGAGAUCCAGAAGCAAGUCCCAAGUCAAUAACUUUCAAAAAACAAGGAAAAAUAAAUCCAAAACUGAAUUGUGAAUUUUAAUGUGAUUAAGGCACAUGGAGCUUUGCAAGGUAUCAUACUGUUCACUUAUUCUUCUCCUAGAAUUUCAGAGGAGCCGAGAUGGCUCCAAUUACUGGACAGCCACAUCUUCAGCCCUCUUCUCCCUGUGCUUUUUCAAAGACAGAGAGGGAGGAAGGAACCUCUGAGGCAGCACUUACCUUCUGUCAUCUUGAGUAAUCUCAAGUCAGCACUGAGGAGGGGGAUGUCAGACAACUCUCAAUUAAAAUCUAGAUCUAUAAUUUACUAAUAUUUUGACAUUGGGCAGGUAAUUUGAUGAGAAAACCCAAAACUGCUCAACUGUUUCUCAAAUUCACUGGCUUUAAGUUAUGUUUUUCAUCUGGGGCCCUAGGGCCUUUUUAUCAGUGGCCUUCAUGAAUGUGAGGCCCAGAAUGAAACAUGUGACUUCAGGCAUCACUGGACUAGGACUGGGACUCUUGUUCAACUUAGUCUGAGAACUGCAGCUGUAUCAGCGUUGCCCAGGCCAGGAGAUUGCAGCUUCAUGGACAGAUGUGCAGGAUCUGGAGCAGACCUGUCUCUGGCUCCAUUACUUACUGUGUGACCUUGAGCAAAUUACUUAACCUCUCCUUUCCUUAAUUUCCUCAUCAGUAAAAUGAAUAUAGUAGUACCUGUCUAGACUGGUUAAAGGCAUUAAACAAGUUAAUAUCUAUAAAGCAUCCAGAGAAGACUGAUUAAUUUUGGAUAGUCAUGAGUGCUAAGAAUAAGAUACAACAGGGAAACAGAAUACUGCUGGAGUAGAAGAAGAGAGUGUUUGGGUGGUAAGGGAAAGCUCUUCUCUGAUGACAUUGAAGCUGAGAUCUGAACAAAGAGAAAGAGGUAGACCAUGCGAAUAUUUUGAGAAGGGCCAUGCCAGACAGAAGGCAGAGUUAAUGCAAAAGCUAUAUACACUGGAAAUGUCUGAGGGACAAAAAGAAGGUCAUUGUGGUUGGAUGGUGACUACGUGGGGGCAUGAUAAGCAAUAAAAGUCAGAUAGAGAUCAUGCAAGACUUUGUUGAACAUGGCAAGGAGUUAUUUUUUUUCCCAGCUGCAAUGGGAAGCCACUGGAGGAAUUUAAGCAGGAGAGUAACAUGAUCUGCUUUACAUUUUUAAAAUAUCACUCUGGCUGCUGUGUGGAGAAUGGAUUAUCAGAGGGAAGGACAGAAACAGGGAGACCAUUUAAGAGGCUAGCACACAAAUCCAGCAAGAAAUAAAACUACUUUGAACUACGACACUAAUAGUGAAGAGGGGCAGGAAUGCCUCAUUCAGGGUCCACUUUGGAGCAAAGCAGAAAGUACUUGUUGAUGGAUUAAAUGUAAGGUGUAAGAGGAAGAAGAGAAGCAUCAAGAAUGACUUCUAGGUUUGGGUCCUGAGUGACAGGGAGAAUUGUGACACCUUCCACUGAGAUGGAAAAGACCAAAGCUCAUCAAUCCUGGCUUCCUCAAGUGUAAAACUGAAAUCAAAACCUAUUUUACAAGUUUGGUGGAAGAAAAAAACACGAUAGUGCAUGAAAAGAAAUACUCUUCUAAGUUGUAAAGCACUGUAGGAACAUUAGCCAUUAUUAAUUAACUAGUUAAUUGUUACCAACAUAUCCUGUAUUUUUUUUAUUUGCCUGUGGAUAUGCACCCCUCUCUUCACGGAAAAAAGCUAAAGACUGCCAGUCAUGUGGACCUGACGAAUUCAGGAAAACCCUUAAUUCCAAUUAAGAUGACUCUCCAGGAAGGUUUGUGAUUAUGAAAUGUGAUUACAAUUUAGAAGCAGAAAUCUAAUUAAUUUUAUUGUAUCUUGGUUGGAAAAAGGUUGUGUGAAUCCAAGGAAGAAGCUCAGGAAAAAAAAAAAAAUUCCAAAUCUAGAAGUUGGCAAUAAUUACUUGGGAUUAUUCAAGGGGUUAUUUUCUCUGGCAGAUAAUCUAUCACCUAGAAAGAAAUCUGAAUUCAGAGGAAUGGACAAUCAUUAUAGUAGUAAGAACUAUCAUUUUCUGAGGAUUUACUGUAUGCUAGGAGCUUUACCUGCAUUAUUACCUUUCAUCCUCAUGAUAUACUUACUAAUCUUCAUAAUAUACUAAUUGAGGCUGAGAAAGAUCAAGUAACUCACCCAAAGUUACAUAUGGCAGAAAUUUCAUUACGGAUGACAGUCAGAAUUGAAGUCAAGUCCAUCUGACCCUGGUGACCAAUCUCUUAACUAUUAACAUAGGCAACUGUUAACAUAUUACUUAUUUAUUCUAGUUUAUCUACAUCAGUCACUUAAGGGCUUGAUCAGUGUGUUCCUAGAUCCAAAUGUCUCUGACUUGGGCAAAGUCCAGUUCCUACAUUUGCAUGACUGAAGAUUGGACAAUGGAUUGGGUGAAUUUACCUAUGUAAAUCGUUCCCUCCUUGACAUUCUUCUAGUGGUUAGCCUCAUUCAAAUGUCAGUAUCCAGACUGGCUAAAUGUCCUCACAUUGCCAAAAAACUCAAACAGGAGAAGUGGCAGGGAGGAGUAGAACUACCACAGGACUAAGGGUCAGAAGACCUGGUUUCUGGUCUCAUUUCUGUCAUUAAAAUGCUGCAGGACCAAGGAAAUUCACCUC